rnacentral:tRNA from 1 species
CGUCGGAAUAGUUCAGCCUGGUAGAACAGCAACUCAUCAAACGUGGGUUCGAAUCCCACUUCUGCGG